AUUGAACGCUGGCGGCAUGCCUUACACAUGCAAGUCGAACGGCAGCAUGAUCUAGCUUGCUAGAUUGAUGGCGAGUGGCGAACGGGUGAGUAAUACAUCGGAACGUGCCCUGUAGUGGGGGAUAACUAGUCGAAAGAUUAGCUAAUACCGCAUACGACCUGAGGGUGAAAGUGGGGGACCGCAAGGCCUCAUGCUAUAUGAGCGGCCGAUGUCUGAUUAGCUAGUUGGUGCGGUAAAGUCUCACCAAGGCGACGAUCAGUAGCUGGUCUGAGAGGACGAUCAGCCACACUGGGACUGAGACACGGCCAAGACUCCUACGGGAGGCAGCAGUGGGGAAUUUUGGACAAAGGGCGAAAGCCUGAUCCAGAAAUGCCGCGUGUGUGAAGAAGGCCUUCGGGUUGUAAAGCACUUUUGUCCGGAAAGAAAUGGCUCUGGUUAAUACCUGGGGUCGAUGAUGGUACCGGAAGAAUAAGGACCGGCUAACUACGUG
rnacentral:rRNA from 1 species